rnacentral:tRNA from 1 species
AGAAAGGUAAGCUAAUAAAGCUACCAGGUUCAUACCCUGUUUAUAGAGAUUAUAUUUCUCUCCUCUCUA